AUGAAUAAUGCUCUUCUCGCCCCUUAUACAAAUGACGAAGUUCGAAAAGCCCUGUUCGACAUUGGGGAUUUAAAAGCGCCAGGUCCCGAUGGCCUUCAUGCUAUUUUUUAUAAAAGAUUCUGGCCUAUGUUGGGAGAUGAUCUGAUUGAAGAGGUUCUCAAGGCGGUGAAUACUUGCUCCAUUCCAGAGGGAUGGAAUGACAUUGCGAUUGUAAUGAUCCCAAAGGUUAAUGCUCCGGAAAAGGUAACUCAAUUUAGACCAAUUAGCUUGUGCAACGUGGUGUAUAAGGUAACUUCAAAGAUGAUUGCUUCCCGUUUGAAGAUAAUCCUAACAGAUAUUAUCAGCCCAACUCAGAGCGCUUUUGUGCCUAGAAGAAUGAUUACAGAUAAUAUAUUAGUGGCUUAUGAGUGUUUUCAUACAAUAAAGAAAAAGAGGGCUGGUAAAGAGGGUCUAUGUGCCAUCAAAUUAGACAUGCAAAAGGCAUACGAUAGAGUGGAAUGGGUCUUUUUAAAGGAGAUUAUGUUAAAAUUGGGAUUUGAUAAGAAAUGGGUGAAGUUAAUUAUGCAAUGUGUUUCUUCUGUGGAGUAUCGAGUUCGUUUCAAUGCCGAGGAAACUGAGAGUUUUAAACCCACUAGAGGAUUGAGGCAGGGAGAUCCCCUCUCUCCCUACUUAUUCUUAUUAUGCACGGAGGGUCUUACUGCCCUUUUAGUGAAAGCAGAGGAGAAUGGAAGUAUUUUAGGCAUAAAGGUAUGCAGAGAUGCUCCACCGAUUUCCAAUCUUCUCUUUGCGGAUGACUCUUUGAUACUUAUGCGAGCAAAUGCUAUGAAUGCGGAGGCGUUAAAAUCAGUUUUGGAUUAUUACUGUGCCGCCUCAGGACAGAUGGUGAGUGUUGAAAAAUCUAGCAUAUUUUUUAGUCCAAACACAAAAGUAGAAGAAAAGGCACAAAUUUGUACAAUUCUGAAUAUUAUGACUGAAUCCCUAAAUGAUAAAUAUUUGGGUUUACCUGCCAAUGUGGGCAUGGAUAAAAGUGAUUGUUUUCAAUUCUUGAUUGACCGAGUUAUUAUGAGAAUUAAUGGAUGGAAGGAAAAAUUGUUAUCAUCUGGAGGGAAAGAAGUUUUGCUCAAAUCUGUUGUUCAAGCUAUACCUACCUAUGCUAUGUCCGUCUUUAAAAUUCCUAAAAAAAUUGUAAAGGAAAUUGACGCGAUGUCGCAUUUUUGGUGGGGUGACGAGGACAAUCAGAAGAGAAUGCAC
rnacentral:rRNA from 1 species